ACCUCUCCAGACUCAAGAGGACCCCGGAGCAGCAUGACUUCUAUAAAUGUGAGGUAUUGGGCCCCACUAAGGUCUGCCUUAACCACCAG